rnacentral:rRNA from 1 species
AAUUCGUAGUCAUAUGCUUGUCUCAAAGAUUAAGCCAUGCAUGUCUAAGAUAAGCAAUCUAUACCGGAAACUGCGAAUGGCUCAUUAAAUCAGUUAUCGUUUAUUUGAUAGUACCUUACUACUUGGAUAACCGUGGUAAUUCUAGAGCUAAUACAUGCUAAAAACCCCCCAAGCUUGAAUUCGUAGUCAUAUGCUUGUCUCAAAGAUUAAGCCAUGCAUGUCUAAGUAUAAGCAAUCUAUACCGUGAAACUGCGAAUGGCUCAUUAAAUCAGUUAUCGUUUAUUUGAUAGUACCUUACUACUUGGAUAACCGUGGUAAUUCUAGAGCUAAUACAUGCUAAAAACCCCGACUUCGGAAGGGGUGUAUUUAUUAGAUAAAAAACCAAUGCCCUCCGGGGCUCACUGGUGAUUCAUGAUAACUUAACGAAUCGCAUGGCCUUGUGCCGGCGAUGGUUCAUUCAAAUUUCUGCCCUAUCAACUUUCGAUUGUAAGGUAUUGGCUUACAAUGGUUUCAACGGGUAACGGGGAAUUAGGGUUCUAUUCCGGAGAGGGAGCCUGAGAAACGGCUACCACAUCCAAGGAAGGCAGCAGGCGCGCAAAUUACCCAAUCCCGACACGGGGAGGUAGUGACAAUAAAUACUGAUACAGGGCUCUUUUGGGUCUUGUAAUUGGAAUGAGUACAAUUUAAAUCCCUUAACGAGGAACAAUUGGAGGGCAAGUCUGGUGCCAGCAGCCGCGGGAAUUCCAGCUCCAAUAGCGUAUAUUAAAGUUGUUGCAGUUAAAAAGCUCGUANUUGAACCUUGGGCCUGGUUGGNCGGNCCGCCUCACCGCGUGCACUGAUCCGACCGGGCCUUUCCUUCUGGGGAGCCGCAUGCCCUUCACUGGGUGUGUCGGGGAACCAGGACUUUUACUUUGAAAAAAUUAGAGUGUUCAAAGCAGGCCUAUGCU